AUUGAACGCUGGCGGCAGGCCUAACACAUGCAAGUCGAGCGGAUGACGGGAGCUUGCUCCUUGAUUCAGCGGCGGACGGGUGAGUAAUGCCUAGGAAUCUGCCUGGUAGUGGGGGACAACGUUUCGAAAGGAACGCUAAUACCGCAUACGUCCUACGGGAGAAAGCAGGGGACCUUCGGGCCUUGCGCUAUCAGAUGAGCCUAGGUCGGAUUAGCUAGUUGGUGAGGUAAUGGCUCACCAAGGCGACGAUCCGUAACUGGUCUGAGAGGAUGAUCAGUCACACUGGAACUGAGACACGGUCCAGACUCCUACGGGAGGCAGCAGUGGGGAAUAUUGGACAAUGGGCGAAAGCCUGAUCCAGCCGUGCCGCGUGUGUGAAGAAGGUCUUCGGAUUGUAAAGCACUUUAAGUUGGGAGGAAGGGCAGUAAGUUAAUACCUUGCUGUUUUGACGUUACCGACAGAAUAAGCACCGGCUAACUCUGUGCCAGCCGCCGCGGUAAAAC
rnacentral:rRNA from 1 species